GUUGUUGUCAGCAUCAAGUUCGAUAUCCAUCCCAAUCCCAUAAUGUCAAAUCCGGGAAGCAUUUGGACCCUGCGAUUUGCUGUAACCUAAUAGUAUUAACUUUAUCGUCAGAUAAUGGGGAAGAACAAAUACCAGUCCUUUUCAUAUUAAUUUUAGCUGUUUAAUUAAUAAUUAUCACCAGAGAGUAGAAAGAUCCGAUGGAGUGUAUGGAAAAGGGAUGUCUGGAGCCACGUGGCUCGAACCCAAGUUUGAUAUUAUCGUUGCUUGAUUCAAGGAAUGCAACCACGUGACCAGUUUAACUUCUGCAACCAAUUUAAAGCUGAUCGAUUUCUUCUUGUUGAUAGCAGGAGCUAUAUUUGAGAUGGGGAACAAUGGGCUCGAAUGAUCCUACAAGAUGGAGUACAAACAUGAUCCGUGACUGUGAAGGUCCCAAUUUGACAUCACAAGAGUGGUCUACUGAGAUGGUGAACAGACCGAGGAAAUUAAGUAGGCUCUGGUGCUGGUAGGGGCCAACCAAGAGGCCAUCAUCUGCACUGCUCCAAUAUUAGACAACUGGUUUUAUGCCAACUGAGGCCCUGCCCCAUGCAUGUCUCUUUUUCCAGAUACCCUAUCAAGAAAAUAUGAUUACAAUGGCGGAUUACAAGAAAAAACAACUUGAUAAUUGCUGUUGGCAAGUCUCACCUCCUGCUGAUAACUUAAAUUCAGUUAGGAAGCCUUAUUUUCUUCCAUGGGAGAAGAAAAGCUAACAAACAAGAGGUGAAGAAUAAGUGAGAGGUCAUGUAUUCUUCCCAAAAAACAAAAAAGAAAAGAAAAAAGAAGAAGAGGAAGGUCAUGGGUGAGGAACAGUGCACUAUUUGUAGUCUUGUUGGUGAGAGGUAUUAUCGUACCCAAAAAGCAAAACCUUGAAGAUGGAGUUUGGGCCCAUUUAUGACAAGAGCGGACCAAGCCUGCUAUUCUAUGGGGAUUUUUACCUAAAAGGAUUUCAAUCACUUGGAAAACCAAUCUUGCAUGGCAAUGUCUCAAGAAUUUGAUCUUGCUGUGAUACAGGGGGAAGAGAAACAGAGAAAUGAAAUGAAAGCUAGGUUUUCACGUGACAAAAUUUGGCGUGAUGGAAUGGAAGAGCUAUAACCUUUCCCUGCUUCAAUGGCAAGAAAAUUAUUUUCUGUUCUUACUCCUACUAUAAGCAUAGCAUGUGCUGUAUAAGCUGUCUUCCCAAUUGUCACCAACAGCAAUUUCUCUGUUUUCAGUGGAAGACAACGAUAGGGAGAGAGCACGAGGGUGUGUUUUCUUGCAGAAGUUCUCUCCAGCAAAGGCUGGUAUCAAUCAACAUAGGUUUCUUUAUGGUCAAGGAAGAGACCAAAAUCCAAAGGCCAGAAAGCGGAUACGUGGACAAAAAAGCAUACAAAAAGGUUAUCCAUACCAUCAGCAAGGUGCAACACCACAAUCAAGGACAUUAGCAGCCAUGAUAUUGCUAAAACUUGCAGCCAACACCAAGAAUGUACUCGGCAGGUAGGCAUUGAUGCAAUGCCUCCAAUUCAACUACUUGCACGACAACAAAUUAGUUAAAGCAUCAAAACUGGAGGUUUUUCUGUCAAAUGGCAUCAAUAUCAUUUAUUUCCAUUAUAUAGCAGACUGCAACAGUCAAUGGCAUAUAUACAAGAUAUGUACAA